GUCAGAGGAGGAGGUGUCUACUGUUGUGUCAUCAAGGGGUUUGUUGUGGCGUAGUAGACAGAGCUGUUUGCGUGUUUUGCAUUAGGAGCCCCGUCCCAGUAGAGGGGCCGCUGGUUAAUUCCCCUUAACCGCUCCACUACCGUCACUGAGUGCCACGUCAAACACUCUCCCAGGACUACUGCACUGCAAAGCACAGCACCACCUGCUCCCAGGCAUGGCAAUGAGCCUCUGCCUCGCCUGCACAAUAGAGAGGGAAGGGGAGCGAGAAAGUAGGAGAGAGGGAAGCUGAGGAAGCAAAAAGAGAGAAACAGAUAGUGAAGAAAAGGCACCUGUUUUAGCAGAGUGAAAAAAAUCCAUCAAGUGUGAAAUAGGCUGCACAAGCAAUGAGAGGAUGCACCAUCGUGAGACCUGAGCCCUAGGACCAUGCCUCAGGACUACCUGGCAUGAUGACUCCUUGCUGUCCCCAGUCCACCUGGCCGUGCUGCUGCUCCGCCUGUGGCUAUGGAACCCUGACCUGUUCACCGGACGUGCUUGUUGCACCCUCGACAACUACUAUGAUUAUUAUUAUUUGACCAUGCUGGUCAUUUAUGAACAUUUUAACAUCUUGACCAUGUUCUGUUAUAAUAUCCACCCGGCACAGCCAAAAGAGGACUGGCCACCCCUCAUAGCCUGGAUCCUCUCUAGGUUUCUUCCUAGGUUUUUGGCCUUUCUAGGGAGUUUUUCCUAGGGAGUUUUUCCUAGCCACCGUGCUUCUUUCACAUGCAUUGCUUGCUGUUUGGGGUUUUAGGCUGGGUUCUGUUCAGCACUUUGAGAUAUCAGCUGAUGUACGAAGGGCUAUAUAAAUACAUUUGAUUUGAUUUGAAGUCAUUUCUACAUGGCUUAGAGAUGUCAGAUGUACAUUUAGGCUACUAUUUCAACUAACAUAACAGCUAUGUUAGAUUGUACUGUAUUCAGUUAAACUAACAAAUCUUAUAUUGAUGUUUUUGUGACUAAG
rnacentral:lncRNA from 1 species